ACCCAGACUCCUACGGGAGGCAGCAGUGGGGGAUAUUGCACAAUGGGGGGAACCCUGAUGCAGCGACGCCGCGUGGGUGAAGGAGUAUUUCGGUAUGUAAAGCCCUAUCGGCAGGGAAGAAGCAAGACGGUACCUGACUAAGAAGCCCCGGCUAACUACGCGCCAGCAGCCGCGGUAAUACGUAGGGGGCGAGCGUUAUCCGGAUUCACUGGGUGUAAAGGGAGCGUAGACGGCCAAGCAAGCCAGGGGGGAAAGCCCGGGGCCCAACCCCGGGACUGUCCUUGGAACUGCUUGACUGGAGUGCGGGAGGGGCAGGCGGAAUUCCUGGUGUAGCGGUGAAAUGCGUAGAUAUCAGGAGGAACACCGGUGGCGAAGGCGGCCUGCUGGGCUGCGACUGACGUUGAGGCCCGAAAGCGUGGGGAGCAAACAGGAUUAGAUACCCGCGUA
rnacentral:rRNA from 1 species